ACAUGUAANUCGAGCGGUAACACAAGGGAGCUUGCUCCUGAGGUGACGAGCGGCGGACGGGUGAGUAAUGCCUAGGUAUCUGCCCAGUCGAGGGGGAUAACAGUUGGAAACGACUGCUAAUACCGCAUACGCCCUACGGGGGAAAGGAGGGGACCUUCGGGCCUUCCGCGAUUGGAUGAACCUAGGUGGGAUUAGCUAGUUGGUGAGGUAAUGGCUCACCAAGGCGACGAUCCCUAGCUGGUCUGAGAGGAUGAUCAGCCACACUGGAACUGAGACACGGUCCAGACUCCUACGGGAGGCAGCAGUGGGGAAUAUUGCACAAUGGGCGAAAGCCUGAUGCAGCCAUGCCGCGUGUGUGAAGAAGGCCUUCGGGUUGUAAAGCACUUUCAGCGAGGAGGAAAGGUUAGUGAUUAAUACUCACUAGCUGUGACGUUACUCGCAGAAGAAGCACCGGCUAACUUCGUGCCAGCAGCCGCGGUAAUACGAGGGGUGCAAGCGUUAAUCGGAAUUACUGGGCGUAAAGCGUACGCAGGCGGUUUGUUAAGCGAGAUGUGAAA
rnacentral:rRNA from 1 species